UACAGAGGUCUCAAGCGUUGUUCGGAUUCAUUGGGCGUAAAGGGUGCGUAGGAGGCGCGGUAAGUCGGGUGUGAAAUCUCGGAGCUUAACUCCGAAAUUGCAUUCGAUACUGCCGUGCUUGAGGACUGGAGAGGAGACUGGAAUUCAUGGUGUAGCAGUGAAAUGCGUAGAGAUCAUGAGGAAGACCAGUGGCGAAGGCGGGUCUCUGGACAGUUCCUGACACUGAGGCACGAAGGCCAGGGGAGCAAACGGG
rnacentral:rRNA from 1 species